rnacentral:lncRNA from 1 species
CGGGACUCCCAUAUGUUACAUAUUUAUAUAUAACUUGAUAUAAAAAUGUUAAAUCACAUCCCUCCAUCAAGGACGUGUCCAGAUAUAUUCUAACCAAGAUCUACAGUAUCUUUAUAAAUCGACUUAAAUAGAUUAACUGUAUCUUUAUGGAUCGCCUUGAAUAUAUCACGUGGGCGACAUCCAACUCCACUUGGCCUAGUGAUA